rnacentral:rRNA from 1 species
AGUAUAAGCAAUUAUACCGUGAAACUGCGAAUGGCUCAUUAAAUCAGUUAUCGUUUAUUUGAUAGUACCUUACUACUUGGAUAACCGUGGUAAUUCUAGAGCUAAUACAUGCUGAAAACCCCAACUUCGGGAGGGGUGUAUUUAUUAGAUAAAAAACCAACGCCCUUUCGGGGCUUCUUGGUGAUUCAUGAUAACUUUACGGAUCGCAUGGCCUUGCGCCGGCGACGGUUCAUUCAAAUUUCUGCCCUAUCAACUUUCGAUGGUAAGGUAUUGGCUUACCAUGGUUUCAACGGGUAACGGGGAAUUAGGGUUCGAUUCCGGAGAGGGAGCCUGAGAAACGGCUACCACAUCCAAGGAAGGCAGCAGGCGCGCAAAUUACCCAAUCCCGACACGGGGAGGUAGUGACAAUAAAUACUGAUACAGGGCUCUUUUGGGUCUUGUAAUUGGAAUGAGUACAAUUUAAACCUCUUAACGAGGAACAAUUGGAGGGCAAGUCUGGUGCCAGCAGCCGCGGUAAUUCCAGCUCCAAUAGCGUAUAUUAAAGUUGUUGCAGUUAAAAAGCUCGUAGUUGAACCUUGGGUCUGGCUGGCAGGUCCGCCUCACCGCGUGUACUUGUCCGGCCGGGCCUUCCUUCUGGAGAACCUCAUGCCCUUCACUGGGCGUGUUGGGGACCAGGACUUUUACUUUGAAAAAAUUAGAGUGUUCAAAGCAGGCCUUUGCUCGAAUACGUUAGCAUGGAAUAAUAGAAUAGGACGUGCGGUCCUAUUUUGUUGGUUUCUAGGACCGCCGUAAUGAUUAAUAGGGACAGUCGGGGGCAUCAGUAUUCAAUUGUCAGAGGUGAAAUUCUUGGAUUUAUUGAAGACUAACUACUGCGAAAGCAUUUGCCAAGGAUGUUUUCAUUAAUCAGUGAACGAAAGUUAGGGGGAUCGAAGACGAUCAGAUACCGUCGUAG